UUCAAUUUAUCCUCGAUAGUGAAGACGAGUUCAAGAUCAAGAGACCAAAUAUCCAACUAGAGUAAACUCCUUCCACUCGAUUGAAAAUGGACUCGAUAACUAUGUUGUAAAAUUACACCAUUUUUU